UCGAACGGAAGGCCCUUCGGAGGUACUCGAGUGGCGAACGGGUGAGUAACACGUGGGUGAUCUGCCCUGCACUUUGGGAUAAGCCUGGGAAACUGGGUCUAAUACCGAAUAGGACCGCGCUCUUCAUGGGGUGUGGUGGAAAGCUUUUGCGGUGUGGGAUGGGCCCGCGGCCUAUCAGCUUGUUGGUGGGGUAAUGGCCUACCAAGGCGACGACGGGUAGCCGGCCUGAGAGGGUGACCGGCCACACUGGGACUGAGAUACGGCCCAGACUCCUACGGGAGGCAGCAGUGGGGAAUAUUGCACAAUGGGCGCAAGCCUGAUGCAGCGACGCCGCGUGAGGGAUGACGGCCUUCGGGUUGUAAACCUCUUUCAAUAGGGACGAAGCGCAAGUGACGGUACCUAUAGAAGAAGGACCGGCCAACUACGUGCCAGCAGCCGCGGUAAUACGUAGGGUCCGAGCGUUGUCCGGAAUUACUGGGCGUAAAGAGCUCGUAGGUGGUUUGUCGCGUUGUUCGUGAAAACUCACAGCUUAAACUGUGGGCGUGCGGGCGAUACGGGCAGACUAGAGUACUGCAGGGGAGACUGGAAUUCCUGGUGUAGCGGUGGAAUGCGCAGAUAUCAGGAGGAACACCGGUGGCGAAGGCGGGUCUCUGGGCAGUAACUGACGCUGAGGAGCGAAAGCGUGGGGAGCGAACAGGAUUAGAUACCCUGGUAGUCCACGCCGUAAACGGUGGGUACUAGGUGUGGGUUUCCUUCCUUGGGAUCCGUGCCGUAGCUAACGCAUUAAGUACCCCGCCUGGGGAGUACGGCCGCAAGGCUAAAACUCAAAGGAAUUGACGGGGGCCCGCACAAGCGGCGGAGCAUGUGGAUUAAUUCGAUGCAACGCGAAGAACCUUACCUGGGUUUGACAUGCACAGGACGCCAGUAGAGAUAUUGGUUCCCUUGUGGCCUGUGUGCAGGUGGUGCAUGGCUGUCGUCAGCUCGUGUCGUGAGAUGUUGGGUUAAGUCCCGCAACGAGCGCAACCCUUGUCUCAUGUUGCCAGCACGUUAUGGUGGGGACUCGUGAGAGACUGCCGGGGUCAACUCGGAGGAAGGUGGGGAUGACGUCAAGUCAUCAUGCCCCUUAUGUCCAGGGCUUCACACAUGCUACAAUGGCCGGUACAAAGGGCUGCGAUGCCGUGAGGUGGAGCGAAUCCUUUCAAAGCCGGUCUCAGUUCGGAUCGGGGUCUGCAACUCGACCCCGUGAAGUCGGAGUCGCUAGUAAUCGCAGAUCAGCAACGCUGCGGUGAAUACGUUCCCGGGCCUUGUACACACCGCCCGUCACGUCAUGAAAGUCGGUAAUCACCCGAAGUCCGGUGGCCUACACC
rnacentral:rRNA from 1 species